rnacentral:lncRNA from 1 species
ACUACUCUCUGCUAAUGUUGCCAUUUCAAUAUGCAUUGGAUUAUAUGUACCCAGUUUCCAUGAAGAUGGACAUCAAAGACCUGAAUUUUUGGCACCAAAUGUAAAAUUCGAUUGGUAGCGCUGCACCCAUUUAAACUACAUCUGUUCAUCAACAUUUUGCAAUAUAGAGCCCUUUGGGAUAUCCAGAUCCUGGAAAAAAAUAAAACAGAUUAGUUAAUCAAGAAAACCUCAACAUGGAAAUAAAAUAGUUAAACAUGAUAUAUGCAUGAGUGCCCGCACUGUUUUUAGCCAGUAUGA